rnacentral:RNase_P_RNA from 1 species
CGAGCCGACCGGGCGGCCGCGGUACCGCCGGUUAGCCGGCGGAUCGAGGAACGUCCGGGCUCCACAGAGCAGGGCGGUGGCUAACAGCCACCCGGGGUGACCCGCGGGACAGUGCCACAGAAAGCAGACCGCCGGCCUCGGCCGGUGAGGGUGAAACGGUGGGGUAAGAGCCCACCAGCGUGACGGGUGACCGCCACGGCUAGGUAAACCCCGCCCGGAGCAAGACCGCGCAGCAGGUGCCCGUCAUCAUGGUGGCGGAGAGGGUUGCUCGCCCGAGCCUGCGGGUAGGUCGCGUGAGGCCACCGGCAACGGUGGUCCAAGAUGGAUGGUCGCCACCGCCGCACCGGCAACGGUGGGCGGCAACAGAACCCGGCGUACAGGUCGGCUCGUCCG